rnacentral:rRNA from 1 species
UACGUAAGGUGCAAGCGUUAUCCGGAAUUAUUGGGCGUAAAGAGCUCGUAGGCGGUUUGUCGCGUCUGCUGUGAAAACUGGAGGCUCAACCUCCAGCCUGCAGUGGGUACGGGCAGACUAGAGUGCGGUAGGGGAGAUUGGAAUUCCUGGUGUAGCGGUGGAAUGCGCAGAUAUCAGGAGGAACACCGAUGGCGAAGGCAGAUCUCUGGGCCGUAACUGACGCUGAGGAGCGAAAGCAUGGGGAGCGAACAGG